CGGAAAUCACGGUAACGGAGAGUCGCGCUGUUAAAGUCGGUGAAUGUGUUCACACACGCUUCAGCCUUUUGACAGCGUGUGUCUGUGACCAGGAAGUCGCCUCGCAUUCGUCGUUUGAUGUUAGCUGGCUGUCUAGCCUCGGGAGGGCACACCUGGUGAGGGCACACCUGGUGAGGGCAGCGCAGUGUCUGUCAGCCGCUCAGACUCACAGGGCCGCGGCGGUAAAACAGCGCGACGACUUGGUGCAACAAACGCUGAGCUAACAGGUGAGCUACACGUGCAAACUGUGAAAUGUG